GACUCUCGGCACGGAUAUCUCGGCUCUCGCAUCGAUGAAGAACGUAGCGAAAUGCGAUACUUGGUGUGAAUUGCAGAAUCCCGUGAACCAUCGAGUCUUUGAACGCAAGUUGCGCCCGAAGCCACUAGGCCGAGGGCACGCCUGCCUGGGCGUCA
rnacentral:rRNA from 1 species